GAUGAACGCUGGCGGCGUGCCUAAUACAUGCCAGUCGAGCGAACAGACGAGGAGCUUGCUCCUCUGACGUUAGCGGCGGACGGGUGAGUAACACGUGGAUAACCUACCUAUAAGACUGGGAUAACUUCGGGAAACCGGAGCUAAUACCGGAUAAUAUAUUGAACCGCAUGGUUCAAUAGUGAAAGACGGUUUUGCUGUCACUUAUAGAUGGAUCCGCGCCGCAUUAGCUAGUUGGUAAGGUAACGGCUUACCAAGGCAACGAUGCGUAGCCGACCUGAGAGGUGAAUCGCCCAAACUGAACUUGAGAAAGGGCCAGGACCCCAAGGGAGGGAACAAGUGGGGAAUUUUCCGCAUGGGGGGAAGCCUGAAGGAGGAAAGGCGGGGGAGGGAAGAAGGGUUUCGGAUCGGAAAACUCUUUUAAUAGGGAAAAACAAAAGGGGAAGGAACCAAUGACGGUUUGAAGGGAACUAAUCAGAAAGGCACGGCUAACUUCGUG
rnacentral:rRNA from 1 species